GGGUUUGUAGCCUUGAGGUUAUGCUUCCGCUUCAUAAGCGGAAGGUCAUGGGUUCGAUUCCCAGCCCCUCCA
rfam:Aedes aegypti strain Liverpool supercont1.326 genomic scaffold, whole genome shotgun sequence.